rnacentral:rRNA from 1 species
GAUGAACGCUGGCGGCGUGCCUAAUACAUGCAAGUCGAACGAGGUGCUUUUGUAGCAAUACGAGAGUAUCCUAGUGGCGAACGGGUGAGUAACGCGUUGGUGACCUACCCCAAAGUGUGGGAUAACAGUCCGAAAGGAUUGCUAAUACCGCAUGUGGUCUUCGGAUUUAGAAACUGAUGACUAAAGGAGCAAUUCGCUUUGGGAGGGACCUGCGUCCCAUCAGCUAGUUGGUGAGGUAAUGGCUCACCAAGGCUACGACGGGUAGGGGACCUGAGAGGGUGACCCCCCCACAAUGGAACUGAAACACGGUCCAUACACCUACGGGUGGCAGCAGUAGGGAAUAUUGCACAAUGGGCGAAAGCCUGAUGCAGCAACGCCGCGUGUGCGAUGAAGGCCUUCGGGUCGUAAAGCACUUUUCUGGGAGAUGAGCAAGGACAGUAUCUCAGGAAUAAGUCUCGGCUAACUACGUGCCAGCAGCCGCGGU